ensembl:lncRNA
CGGGGUCCAGCGUGGAGGAGGCGGCCGAGGAAUCGCUCUCCUAAGGACAGGGUGGUGUUUCCCAAACCUUUGAUGGCUUUCACUGCCUUCUCUCUGGACGCCAUCCAGCUGGCUCCUCACAGUGCUGUACCCCAAGCUGGGUGCUGAGCCACUCCCAACGCCAAGCGGAUGGGCUCUUCCAGAUGUUUUUCAGAUUGCAUUCCUCACCUCUCCUUGACAACCUACCCUGCCCGCGGACCAGAAACACACCACGCAGCAAAGAUCACAACUCCCAGAGCCCAGACCGACUGUUUCAUCGACCGCUAAAAGCAUCCCCAGAACCAGAACAAGUGGGCAGCAGCCGGGUGCCUGAAAGAAGGAGAAAGGGUAAGUUCCACGGAAAGUGAAAGGUGAGGCAGCUUUCCAGCGCUCACUCCCUCUGCUUGCCAAAAUAGCAAUGCCCGGCCCACGCCUCGCUCUGACUUCAGCGGAAGAUGCGCUCGUUUCCCAGGAGAGCUUCCUCUCGCAACGCAGAUGUGCUGCACUGAGGCAAUCGCCUUCCAUUGCGUAACGCAACCCGGAAUUAAACACUAUAUGCUAUUCGGUACAUUUCUAAAAUGUAAACCAGAAGCUAUAGCCAAGCUCCACGACGCUGCCAAGAAUGUGAACGCUAUGAUUCGAGCGGGGAAGAACACAUCCUCCCUCCUCCCACAGCCAGCUCUCAGUCGCAGUUUUGCCCGACUCUUUUGUAGUUGUCAGUAAACUAUCGAGUCACACAUCUCUACGGCUUCCAUCUCCAUCUUUGGCGACUGGGGGGACCCCCGGCUCGGGACCUCGUGCUGCCGCCCACAGACCAUCUGGGAAGAAGCCAGCAGGUGGCUGCACCAAGGUACGUGGGGCUGAGGCCACACAGUGCUACUCUUCAGAAGAACACAGGUCUUGUCUAGAAUAUACCAUGCGUAGCCCAGGUUUCCACAGCGGAAAACUCACCGAGGGAAUACUGUUUGCUCAUACUGGCAACGUAUCCCAAAAUUACAGUAAUUUACAACCUCAUUUCCAUUGACAAAAGAAAUAAUAUCAUUCUCUUCUGACAAAUAUCGGUACACAGAGAAAGUAAUGAAUAAAAUGUCUACAAACAGGUAUCAAAUAAAGUAACUAUCAAUCACCGUAACCAAGUUUUAAUUAAAUCACACAUUAAGUAAAAGAACGCUGAAGUAAAACAAGCCACAUAAUCUGAAAUCAAAAUAAAAAUCUGUCAAUCACUCCGAAGCAGGAAAAGCACGAGUCAGAGAAUUCCAAUACCACAACCUGUUAACUGAACGGUCAUGUAAUUGUUACUUGGCAAACUCCAAAUGUGCUAAACGAAGCCAAACGCGGGGAUUCGGCAAAGCAUUGAAGCCUGUGCCAAAGCACAUCUGUAUUUUUAAAAUGUUUUUACUGCGACAGAGAGCUUAAAACUGUGGGAGCAUUCACACACACCUAUACAAUGAUUUAUUUCUAAGAGAGAGAGAGAGAGCACUCAGAAAGCUAUCUGCACCGUCCACAUUUCAGUAUUACAAACCAAGUCAGCUUUUAGCCUAAGUUGCAGACGCAUUUCUGGAGACGCAUUAGAAAGAACCCCAAGGAUUAGUUGUAACACAAAAGGCAGAGGGAGUUGCCUGCCGUCAUCCUGCCAGUUUGUGGAAUGGAAGUUAGCAAAUGAGGCAUGAAAAGAUGUGAGAAAA